rnacentral:lncRNA from 1 species
GGCAAAAAUCACAAAGAUGCAGCCUCUGUACGAGCCACCCACCCCAUCCCAGCAGCCUGUGGUAUUUACUAUUUUGAAGUAAAGAUUGUCAGCAAAGGAAGAGAUGGGUACAUGGGAAUUGGACUCUCAGCGCAAGGCGUUAACAUGAACAGACUGCCUGGUGAGUCACUGUUCAAGAAAACAUUGUUCUGCUCUCAUCUGUCCUGAUCUGUUAGAGCAAAAGUGGCAGCUCAGAGACUUGGGAGGGUCUUGUUUGUAGGAUGUCACGGCUUUGGGUGGAGAAUUCCAAAUGAUGGUCACCACAUUAGGACAUCUUAUCUUUCAAAAAUUGAGAGAAGCUACAGAGAAGGCCUGGCAGUUAAAUGUAGAAGUUAAGGCCCCAGUUAAGAGUGCUUCCUGUUUUUCUAGAGGACUUGAGUUCACUUCCCAGCACUCAUGUCAUGCCACUCACAACUGCCUCCUUGGACCCCUGCACUCAAGUGCACAAACUCACUCUUAGACCAACACAAUUACACACAAUUAA